GUGGGGAAUAUUGGACAAUGGGCGCAAGCCUGAUCCAGCCAUGCCGCGUGAGUGAUGAAGGCCCUAGGGUUGUAAAGCUCUUUCACCGGUGAAGAUAAUGACGGUAACCGGAGAAGAAGCCCCGGCUAACUUCGUGCCAGCAGCCGCGGUAAUACGAAGGGGGCUAGCGUUGUUCGGAAUUACUGGGCGUAAAGCGCACGUAGGCGGACAUUUAAGUCAGGGGUGAAAUCCCGGGGCUCAACCCCGGAACUGCCUUUGAUACUGGGUGUCUGGAGUAUGGAAGAGGUAAGUGGAAUUCCGAGUGUAGAGGUGAAAUUCGUAGAUAUUCGGAGGAACACCAGUGGCGAAGGCGGCUCACUGGCCCGUUACUGACGCUGAGGCGCGAAAGCGUGGGGAGCAAACAGGAUUAGAAACCCGGGUAGUCC
rnacentral:rRNA from 1 species